UAAAUAGGCGCCCACCUGUAUAACGAGUGGAAUACUUUUCAUGUCUUAGUUUAAAUAGGCGCCCACCUGUAUAACGAGUGGAAUACUUUUCAUGUCUUUGUUUAAAUAGGCACCCACCUGUAUAACGAGAGGAAUAUUUUCAUGUCUUAGUUUAAAUAGGCGCCCACCUGUAUAACAAGAGGAAUAUUUUCAUGUCUUAGUUUAAAUAGGCGCCCACCUGUAUAACGAGUGAAAUACUUUUCAGUCUUAGUUUAAAUAGGCGCCCGCCUGUAUAACGAGUGGAAUACUUUUCAGUCUUAGUUUAAAUAGGCGC
rnacentral:lncRNA from 1 species